UAGGGAAUAUUGGUCAAUGGGUGAGAGCCUGAACCAGCCAUGCCGCGUGCAGGAAGAAGGCCUUCUGGGUUGUAAACUGCUUUUGCCAGGGGAUAAAAUAGCUUUGCGAAGCAAAUUGAAUGUACCUGGUGAAUAAGCCACGGCUAACUACGUGCCAGCAGCCGCGGUAAUACGUAGGUGGCAAGCGUUGUCCGGAUUUAUUGGGUUUAAAGGGUGCGUAGGCGGUUCUAUAAGUCAGUGGUGAAAUACUCCGGCUCAACCGGAGAGGUGCCAUUGAUACUGCAGGACUUGAGUACGGACGAGGUAGGCGGAAUUGACGGUGUAGCGGUGAAAUGCUUAGAUAUCAGGAGGAAUACCGGUGGCGAAAGCGACUCUCUGGACGGCAACUGACGCUGAGGCACGAAAGCGUGGGGAGCAAACAGGAUUAGAUACCCGUGUAGUCCCUGAGCGGGCUGGCAAGGCGCAU
rnacentral:rRNA from 1 species